AGUAUAUGCACUGAUUGUUAGUCCAAGUGCCACCACAAGUUUGAGAAGCUUUUGCUCUGGAGAACAACCUGAAAAGUGUCUAAAGUUUUGUUUGUCAACCAGCUGCAAUUUAUUUGAUUUUUGUUUAAUGUAGAGAGGACAACAGAAUGCUUUGUUAGAUUCUUUUUGGAUAGACACCUUUGUUGGAUUUGAAAGGUGAUUGAUGUUAAAUUUACAUAUAUCAGUUCACCUGUUUGGGAAGCCAUGUUAAGAUACAUAUUAUAUUCAUAGCUUAGGCUGCUGAGCAUAACCAAGUAAUAUGCUCAAGUGUACAUUUUUUGAAAUUG
rnacentral:lncRNA from 1 species